CAAUAGCGUAUAUUUAAGUUGUUGCAGUUAAAAAGCUCGUAGUUGGAUUUCGGGUAGGAUUUGCCGGUCCGUCUUUGAGAUGUGUACUGGUAAGUCCUAUCUUCUUGUCGGGGACCAGCUCCUGGGCUUCACUGUCCAGGACUGGGAGCCGACGAAGUUACUUUGAGUAAAUUAGAGUGUUCAAAGCAAGCCUACGCUCUGAAUAUAUUAGCAUGGAAUAACACGAUAGGACUCUGGCUUAUCUUGUUGGUCUGUGAGACCAGAGUAAUGAUUAAGAGGGACAGUCGGGGACAUUCGUAUUUCAUUGUCUGAGGUGAAAUUCUUGGAUUUAUGAAAGACGAACUUCUGCGAAAGCAUUUGUCAAGGAUGUUUUCAUUAA
rnacentral:rRNA from 1 species